UUAAAAAAUAUAUUAAGAUGUAAAAGCAACAUGAGUUAAUCAUAAAAAAAAAACAUUAUCUUGUUAGAGUAUUAGAUUGAAACCUGUUGAAAACUGAUUUUAUUUCAGUAGCUAAACAACCUAAUUGAAUUAUUUUAUUUUGUUUCCUUUUUCUUUUCUGCUAAAACAAAAAUUUUAAUUUUUUUUAAAAAACCAAAUGAAUUAGUAAAUUAAAGUAAAUAUUUUAUUUUGAUGCUUUUUAUUUUUAUUUUCCGCUAAAAUAAAAGUCUAUUCAUUUUCGUUUUAAUAAAGUUCGGAGAACGGACCUGUAAUCAAACAUAACUUGUCAAGUUAAUGAGAGAUAUAUUCAUUUCGUUUUAAGUUCGGAGAAUGGGCCGGCCCAUUUCAUUCUCAAAUGUUGACAAUAGGGGUCUUUUCUUUCCAAAUUCUAACCCUAAUUUAUUUUUGUUGCUCCUUUCUCUCUCAUUCUUAUCCGCCGCUCUCCUGAAAAUUGUUUCUCUUGCUUGCUAUCACUCCGUUCUCUCUCCUCAUUGCUACUUUCCUUCAUUUCUCUCCUCAGAAAAUGGUUUCUCAUAUUAUCCCUCCUUUUCUCUCUCCUCUUUCCAACUAUAUCAAGACUCUCUCUCCUCCUGUAGUUCGUUUUAUGGGGUUCGUUUGUUGGAGACUCAACUAAGUCAUCGAAACGCCGUCGAUUGGAAUUGUCGACGAUGCACAGGUAAUAUUCCUCAUCUCUUCGUCAAUUAAUCUGUCUAUGGUGUUGGGGUUCGAGGGUAUUUAAAAUCGCCUGAUCAGGAGUUAUUUUAGCAAAUAUUUUGAUAUUUUGAAUGUCGUUAAUAUCUAUUAUUUUCGAUCAAUUUCGUUAAUUGUUUGGGGAAAUGUUUGGGGGUUUUAAGGGUUUGUUCAAAUGAUUUUUUUGGGGUUUUAAUCAUUCAUUACUUCAUGCAAAAUAUUGAUUUAGGGAAAUUGUUGGUAAUUUAGGGUUUAGUUUCAGGAUUAAUUGAUAUUUAGGGUUUAAAUUCAUGAUUAAUUGUUGGUUCAUUAAUUAAAGUGUUUUUCAAGCAAUUUGUGGAAUAGAUUAAUUGUUGCUUAAGUGCUCAAUUUGAGGUUUAAUUGUUGCUUAAGUGAUUAAUUUGAGGAUUAAUUGUUGCUUAAGGGUUUGAGGGUAAUUAAUUGAUAUUUAGGGAUUAAUUUGAGGAUUAAUUGUUGCUUAAGUAAUUGUAGUUGGAGUUCGUUUGCUAAAUUGUUGCUUAACUAAUUUUGAUUGCACUUUUGGUUUGCAUGUCGUGCCCUCUAUGGCUCUAUGGGUUGGAGAGAAAGGUGCAGAUGCAGAUGUGUUUUGGGAGGCGCUGGUAGAGGCGCUGAAUUUAAUUUACUUUUGUUUUAAUUUGGUACAUCAAAAUGACACGAUUCAAAACUGUCAAAAUGACACGAAUCAAAACUGUUAAAGUUUCGGUCUUCUAAAAGUUCUCUUCUUUUUGUUCUGGUUACUUUCAUAGUUCCAUAGAACUUUAAUGAUUUUUUUGAUGUUUUGGUACAUCAAAAUGACACGAUUCAUCUUCCCUCUUCUCUAUUAACUGCAAAAAGAGUCUACUUACAUGUAUUGGCGGUGGUGGAGCUUUUUCACAACGAACCUCUGAUGGAACUCUGGAACGCUGUACAGAGAUUAUUUG